AACAGUAAAUGCAGCAGCAGCAGCAGCAGCAGCAGCAGUUAGCACUGAUGCAACUACUGAGGCUAUUGCCACCGCCUUCCCACUAACGCGGCUUACAGCCGGGAGGGGGGGGACUUGCAGUUUCCAGGGGCAACAAGCGUCUCUUACCACCCUCUCCUGCGCCUCAAAGGAGGCUGGUCCUGUGAGGCUGGAAAGGUACAGUCUUGACAAGGAACAAAAGACGUCUGUAUAUGAAGAAAUGUCAGAUGACCAUGUGUUAAGUGUCAGCCUUGAUGGAUUUACACAAGAAGGCCAAAGCAACUCAAGGAAGGGAGAGACCCCUGGAAUCCUCAGGACCUUUUGGUGGAGGUUUUUGAAUGUAGAAAGACUCUCUGGAAAAUUGAGCACUUUCCUGUAUCCACAGUCUCUGAAAUGAAGUUACCCCCAACUCUCCAACUUCUGCGCCCAGAGCCUCUGCUUUAGGCCCAAAAGGAAAAGAAAUUCGUAGGAGACAGUGAAUCUCAGACUCUUCCUUGGUUAUGAGCAAGAGCUCCCUGGCUCCAAGAGGGGAAGAAAUACCUGAUUUCUGAACACAGUCUAUAUCCUGAACAGUUUCCUAGAAAUGACGGAAUUGAUUAAUUUUUAUAAAGCACUUCAAGUGUCACACAGCAAGUUUUGAUGCAUCCAAGUGCCCAAAGAGGUAAGCAGUUUAAAGGAGUUUAAGAUUUUUACCUGUUUCUAACUUGGAGGCCCACCUAGUGAAACUGCAAAUUUUGGGUUCAGGGUAAAGAGUGGUUUUAAAGACUGAGCUUCUGGAGUCAGACCACGCAGUUUGGGAUCCCAGCUUCAUCACUUGUCAGUUGUGUGAUUUGGGAGCAAGUUACUUCACUUCUCUGCCUUCACUUGCUCAUCCAUAAAGUGGGGAUAACCGCUUCAUAGGAGGGUUUAGAGGAUUAAAUGAGAUAAUCUACAUGAAGCUCAACACAGGGCAUGGCACAUCCCGGACACUCCAGAAACACAUGGAUGGAUAAAGAACAUUUUUUUUCUGAUUAGUUCCAUGAUUUUUCCUUUUAAUUUUUGCAUCAGUACCAUGAGUUUACCUAAAGAUAAGAAACCAUUUUUGUUGUCAGCUCAUUGUGAAAAAUAGCAUUAAUUCCUAUUAAGGUGUUCACCAUCUUUUUUGCAGGCAUCAAAAUGAUGUAAUAUUUUAAAGUGAUCACACUUCUGGGUUUGAAUCCCCACUUGUUGGCUCCAAGACUUUGAAAAGUUGCUUAACCUCUUUGGACCUCAGUGGCCUUAGUUGUAAAAAUGGGAUUCUGUGUAGUUUCAGUUAAUAGAUACAAAGUGCUCACAUCAGUUCCAAGUACAUAAAAGUGCUCAAGGCUGCUAUUAACCAAGCAUUUUCCAGAAAAGAAAAUGGAGUUGAGAGGUGAUACCCCCAAAUGGUUUUCUUCAACUUGUAAGUAACGUACUGAACUUCCUGCCUCAUAAUAUUCAAGAUGAAAUUUUGAAAGAUGCCUACAUCAGGAAUUUUUUCAUAGCCAAACGUUAAAAGCAAAGUGAAGGUCUACACAGAGAUGGCAAACAUGGCCUACCCAACCUGACACCUAGGGCCAUGACAGACAUUAUUAAUCCAUUAUGGCACAUUUACCUACUGAGUC